UAGGCAAGCACUCUCGGUCUCUCUCUCUCUCAUGCACGGUCAUUCUCUCUCUUUAGAUCGAGCAUCUUCAAUGUUGAAACCAUAAUUAGGGAUUUACAAUGUUGAAGCCUUAAUUAGGGAUUUACAAUGUGAAACCAUAAUACCAAGUAGCCCACCGAUAAUUGGAAUGGCCAUGCAUUCGGAUCAUGCCAAGUUUAGUUUUAUUCUUGGUAAUGGAUGCUCUAGAUGAUCAUCUCAUUUUUGGGCUCGAGAUGCUCCGAAUGCACGUGGUUCAUGGGAAAACGAGGAUUCCAUCUAAAUGCACCUCCCUCUAACUUAAAACAAUCUGCUCUCCUUAAAAAUCUCCUGUCCAAGGUUGUAUUGUAUAAAUUUCAGGUGAGGUAAUGUAUACUACUCAAAGGUAAGUCUUCUUUCAUUGCCCAUAUGAAAUUAUGUAAUUGCCCUUUUUACAUUAUGAAAUUACCAUCAAUAAGUUGAUUUAGCCUUCACAUAUUAAGGGCAUUAAAGUAUUUUUCUUCUUGUACAGGUGUAAUUACAAAUAUUCCCUUUGAAUACAAUAUUUAUGAAAUUUAUGUUGUUGAAAUUUAUACGCUUUCUAUUUUUCCUGCAAGUGUUUGCAUUUUCUUAUUAGAAUUGACUCUUACUGAAUCAAUGCCUGAGUGGUUAAUGGGGACGGACUACAAAUUCAUUGGCAAUAUGUCUACGCUGCCUCGAAUUCAGCUAAGUGCCAUUGUCGUAAAGAGAAAACUUUGAUACUCUGGAAGAAUGUGAUGUUUCAUACACAUGCACACAGAAAUUGUGAUGUGGCAAAGAGGUAACCAGAACUGAACUGUGCAAAUCAGGGCCCACUUUACAUGGGUCGUGAACAAAAAUUUGAUGGAACUGAUAUGUUACCUGGCCAGUUGGUUACUUCUAAAUAGAAUGUUGAAAUCCAAAUAGUCAACUUUCCAAAUUUGGCAAACAAAUGUGUAUCAAUACAAGGAUGUAGUCUCUCCUUUUAAGUUCGUAUUCAGCUUUGUCAUGGCGCUGUAUUUUUAUAGUUUUUUCAGUUUUUUGUGUUGUAUAGUGGUUCUAUACAAUGAUAGGUGUGGCCUGUUCCUUUUUGAGGAGCCCACCCGAAUGAUUAUACAACAUGUUUUUUUUUUUUUUUUUGAAUAAAAAGAAAAAAAAAGAGGUGAGACUCAUCUGAAAAUCAGGGUGGGAGAUGUUCUUCCAGUGGUCCGGUAUCAUCUAAAGGUUAGGCUGCAAGUUUCAGUUGUGUUUCUACAAAGUGUUAGGCAACUAGUCGUUGCCACUUUCAGAACCUGUCUUUCAGCAAACUGGCAUGCCCAUAACCAUGAUGUGAAUGUUCUUUUGUUCAGACCAUCGUUCUGUUUUGUUCCCUUGUGUAGCAGUAUAGAUGGUUGCAGAUAGGGGUGGGCUGCUGUGGACUGAUGUGCUGCUCUGAUCUUUUUCUGUCCUGUGAAUGGGCUGAUGUUCAUAGGGAUGGCUAAUCUGAUCAUCUACGACGCCACCGCCUCUCCCUCUCACCUGCCUAGACAUCACCGCCUCUCUCUCUCUCUGAAAGAGUGUUAAGGCCAAGGUUUCACGUUCGCAAAAUGGCGUGGAUGCUCCCACAGGUGCCAAUCAGCACUGUAUAAUAGAACAUGGACUUCCAUCAGGCUGCAGGAAAGAUUAGGGUGCGAGCCCUCUGCUGAACAACUUGCCUCUUCCUUGCGGAUGUAUCGCGCUGAAUUACACUCCAAAAUGAUUGAAUGUUCAUUGGCAAGAGAGAUACUAGCAAUGAAUAAUGUCCGUCUAGCUAGUCAUGUCCCUCGCUCAAAAAUAUGACAACAUGGGGGCUGAAAUGGCUGACCUUGUUCAGGGGGUUUGAUUGGAUUAAUGCAUGGGAUAGAGAAAUUUGAUUCUUCAAAAGGAUACAAAAUAUCAACUUAUGUAUAUUGGUGGAUUCGUCAGAUAUUUCAUGGAAGAUGAAGAUUACAGAUUGUUGUGCUGUUCAUUCACAAGUUGAAGUUUGAUCCAAGGCUAUAGGGUGAAUCAGAUAACAAUACCGGUGGAUAUGGAAAUGUGGUAUAGAAAGAUCCAUACAGAGAUUAAAUCUGCCAGCCAAACACAAGCACAUGCUCUAAGGCAUGACUAUCCAUUGCCAAACACCUGGGCUGUAAACACCUAAUAAAAAUUUUCGUCUUUUGCCAAACCCUAAGAAUCUUUGUUUAGUCAUUAAUUUAUUUAUUUUUGUAUGUUCACAUGUCCUUAUUCUGUCGCGAUUUGAUUUGUUUUUACAACUAAUUGAUGACAUUACCUUCUCAAUUAGGCAUAAAUCUAUGUUUGUGUGUUGGCCAAGGGCAUUGAGUACAGAGUAGAACUCUCUCCCGAACGAAUCUUCCCAACCAUUUGACUGUGAUUGAGAUGAAUUUGUGUUAGCUAUCACUCCUCAUAUCUCUUUCCCUUUGUUCCAUUUAACAUGAUUCUCUGAUUCAUAUGUAGUUUUUCUCAUAGAUGACAUUGCUGAUAACUGGAAGAGCAUGGUCUUGAGAGCUGAUGUGAAUCCUACGCGAUUGAGGAAUUCAUGAUUUCUUUGCGAUUGAUGGCAAGCGAUGAGUGCAUAGUCCACUUCAGCUUAUGGGCUGUUUCAAAGGCUCCCCUUCUAAUUGGAUGUGAUGUGCGAAACACAAGUAAUGAAACAAUGGCAAUGAUUGGCAACAAGGAGAUCAUUGACAUUAACCAAGGGGGUCUCCUAUUCCAAGCAGUUUGACAGAGAAAAUUGAUGAGUACAUUCCACACAAUGUUGCAGUGUUGCUCGAUACAUUCAAGGAUAAAGAUGGUCUGUACAAGGUUUCUAAGUCUCCUACCUGGAUACACUCAGAUAUUAUGGAUGAUCAUGUACACAUGGAGCCAUGUAUGCCCACUCAUUGCUUGGAUGAGAAUGGCUUAGAUGCUAGCUUGACAACUCAUGCUACAGUGAAUGGCUGUAAUGGUGAUGAAAAACAAAGGAAGUGGAAUCCUAGCCAUAUUCUUGAAUCGUUUUGGCAUGCACAUCCUAAAAUGAUGUUUAUCCUUGAACUCAUGCAUCGAGUGUUGAGGUGCUGCAUUUUUUUUUCUUAUGAACGGUGGCAAGCUCGCAAUCCAUCCAUUGUGCAUGCAUUUCCAUUUUGAGACACCUCCUCUUACAAGCUGGUGCUUUCGUUCCUCCAGCCUUUAUGUGUGCACAUUCUUAUUGCUUAUUUUCUAGUUGCAUGAUCUAUGACAUUGUUUCUAAGCCAGGAACAACCACAUGCCAUUUCCUCUUUUCCUUAUAUUUAUGUCACUUCUUCCGACAUAGGGAAAAGAGGUAAAAAUAACAAAUUGAGAAGUCAUUUCUAGUUCUGCCUUUUCAGAGACCUAUGGCUAGAACUUCUCGAUUGGCAGCUGUGGCCAGGCAAGAAGGCAGGUGUCCAUUCUAUUGUGUCCAUGUUAUCAAUAAUAAUAAACACACGGGGCUGUCUGUCCUGCUGGAAAUUAAUUUCCAUUGGAUGGGUUAGGUGUUUUGUGCUUGUGACCUCUUGCUGUUCGGAUGGCGACCCGUUUUAAAGUCCAAAAGCUGAUAACCCACAACCCAUGAAAUAAAAUAAUCCGUUUGCCUUCAUGGAAAGGACUGAGGUGUGAGAAAAAUGAAGCUCAGAUCCAGCAUCAUCAUCGUUGUGCUCGUUCCUCUCCCUGUGGCCCCACCCAAAUUCAUCAGCAUUUCAUGGUUUGAAACUCUUAUUAUUAUUAUCUAUUUAAUCUUCUCCUUUUGUUGUGUUUUGUUGAACCAAAAAUAGUUAAAUUCCAUGAUAUCUGUUGCAACCAAAUGCACCCUUUAUUGCCUUUUAUAUUUGUGCCUACCAAAGCUAAAAUGCUUCAAAUUGAAUAGAAUCCCCUUACAAAGGGCAUGAUGCUACCACUGCCUAAGAGGGGACAUUAAUUCCAUCUAGCCAGCAGGAUCCACACAAACAGAGAGCAGGCAGUAUCUCAAAUAUACAGCUGCUAGCACAGCAUGGUGGAGUCAAAUGAUCCACCAACUGAAGUACAGAAGCCUAGGAAGAACCAGCUCCUACUGCCAACAUCACCCAGCCAACUAGUACAGAAGAUAGUCUCUGUUGCUGAGUUCUAUUAUCAGUAUUAUUUCCACCUUUUAAGUUCUGAACAUGAAGAACAUCUUUGUUGUUAUUUGCUGCAAAUUUAUUUAUUAUAUAUUUGUGGAUCUUUUUUU